AAAAUACUCUGAAAUGACUACAGACUUCUGCUUUAGACCUUUAUAUGGUAAACUGCCCAUGUUGUUUCAGAUCCUUAAUUAGCCCCAGCUGGCCUGGCUGGGAUGAAGAGUAGUUAGCUAUAAAUUGAAAAGAUUACGAAAUGGGUGUCUGUCACUCUCCCUUUUUCAAUUUUCUUUUUGUUGUUUGGAAGAAGAGCAUGUUGUGCUGAUUCUAAAGAAAGAAAAAUACCAUUUGCAUCGUGUUUUGUCCUUCAGCAAUAGAAAGGAAUUUUCAGCAUACCAGAACAAAUCAAAUUUUAUUCCAUGUAUACAAGAGGAAAGAAAUGACAAGUUAUGGAGUUGGAGACCCUACAGAAAACAAAAUAGAGUGUGACUCUGCCUCUGAUGAGUUAAAUGAUAGCAGCUGGGGAAGCCUUGGAAAGUCUUCACUGCAUUAACUUUAUGUGACGUUGAAACACCUGAACUGAGCCUGUCUUCUACGAUGCAUUGGGAAAAGUGCAGCAAAGAGAGGUUUAAUAAUUGCUAUUGAAUGACCAUGGCCAUGAAUCAAGAAGAGAGUAGAGGUGUCCUGAGGCCCAGUGUUCUGCUUUGUCUGUGAGGUCAUGCUGUUUUUCUACAGAAAAUGCCUGGCACCAUUGUUUCCUUCUUCAUACAUAUUGAGAGCCAGACUGGAAGUAAUCCAAGCAGCUUCAAUUUUGCCUAAAGUAGCAGAAGAGUUUCCCUUCCAUGCUUCCAGACCCAGAGAAGUGGCUGGUGCUUGAAAACCGAAGCAGCAACAAGAAAACUGUUAAGGAUGAGUUCCUCCUCCCGCCUCUCCAAAGGAUUUGAGUUUUGCUCUGCGAGUCCCUAAUGUGCCUGUGUAUGAUGAGGUGGUGAUGCUAAGGUAAAAGCCAAAUCAGUUAUAUUUUGGAUAGCUUUAUAGGUAUUUUAUACUGAAAAAAACCUGGAGGCAGUACAGUAAAAUGCACAGGAAGAAGGCCUCUGACUUUGAAGGCUGA
rnacentral:lncRNA from 1 species